rnacentral:rRNA from 1 species
GUGUCAGCAGCCGCGGUAAUACGGAGGGCGCAAGCGUUGUUCGGAAUCACUGGGCGUAAAGCGCGUGUAGGCGGCCGGGCAAGUCGGAUGUGAAAUCCCGAGGCUCAACCUCGGAACUGCACUCGAAACUGCUCGGCUCGAGUCCCGGAGAGGAUGGCGGAAUUCCCGGUGUAGGGGUGAAAUCCGUAGAUAUCGGGAGGAACACCAGUGGCGAAGGCGGCCAUCUGGACGGUGACUGACGCUGAGACGCGAAAGCGUGGGGAGCAAACAGGAUUAGAAACCCGCGUAGUCC